rnacentral:rRNA from 1 species
UGCUGGGUGGAUGAGUGGCGAACGGGUGAGUAACACGUGGGUAAUCUGCCCUGUACUCUGGGAUAAGCCUGGGAAACUGGGUCUAAUACCGGAUAGGACACAUCACCGCAUGGUGGUGUGUGGAAAGUUCCGGCGGUACAGGUUGAGCCCGCGGCCUAUCAGCUUGUUGGUGGGGUGAUGGCCUACCAAGGCGACGACGGGUAGCCGGCCUGAGAGGGUGACCGGCCACACUGGGACUGAGACACGGCCCAGACUCCUACGGGAGGCAGCAGUGGGGAAUAUUGCACAAUGGGCGCAAGCCUGAUGCAGCGACGCCGCGUGGGGGAUGACGGCCUUCGGGUUGUAAACCCCUUUCGCCCGGGACGAAGCGAAAGUGACGGUACCGGGAGAAGAAGCACCGGCCAACUACGUGCCAGCAGCCGCGGUAAUACGUAGGGUGCAAGCGUUGUCCGGAAUUAUUGGGCGUAAAGAGCUCGUAGGCGGUGUGUCACGUCUGCCGUGAAAACCUGCGGCUUAACCGUGGGCGUGCGGUGGAUACGGGCAUCACUUGAG